rnacentral:rRNA from 1 species
UACGAAGGGGGCUAGCGUUGUUCGGAAUCACUGGGCGUAAAGGGCGCGUAGGUGGUCUGAUAAGGGUGUGGUGAAAGCCCGGGGCUCAACCCCGGGUCGGCCGUGCCGACUGUUAGACUAGAGUACUGUAGGGGCAGGCGGAAUUCCGGGUGUAGCGGUGGAAUGCGUAGAGAUCCGGAGGAAGACCGGUGGCGAAGGCGGCCCGCUGGGCAGUUACUGACACUGAGGCGCGACAGCGUGGGGAGCAAACAGG